rnacentral:rRNA from 1 species
GGGGCCUACAGUGAAAACGCCACCUUUAAUGUUUGAUGCUCUAACGUGGCACCGUUACCUGGGUUACGGACAGUGGCUGGUGGGUAGUCCGACUGGCGGGGACUGCUCCUAGAGAGGAACGACGGGGCACGAAGGUUGCCUAAUCCUGGCGGGACAUCACGAGGGUAGUGCAAUGCCAUAAGCCAGCUUGACGGCGA